rnacentral:ncRNA from 1 species
AAACCCAGCUGUGGAAGAGAGAGUUCAAGAGAGUGUGAAACUGUUAAGAGGUGUCCAUGGACAGAAUGAGGCCGGUAGCGGCCCUUGGCGUGCCGGGACUGGGUCGUCUUGGAGUCGGGUUGCUUGGGAAUGCAGCCCAAAGCUGGUGGUAAACUCCAUCUAAGGCUAAAUACUGGCACGAGAGCGAUAGUCAACAAGUACCAUAAGG